CCUACGUGAGGCAGCAGUGGGGGAUAUUGCACAAUGGGGGAAACCCUGAUGCAGCGACGCCGCGUGUGGGAAGACGGUCCUCUGGAUUGUAAACCACUGUCCCCAGGGACGAAGAUGACGGUACCUGGGGAGGAAGCUCCGGCUAACUACGUGCCAGCAGCCGCGGGAAUACGUAGGGAGCGAGCGUUGUCCGGAUUUACUGGGUGGAAAGGGAGGGUAGGCGGGACUGCAAGUUGGGUGGCAAAUCCCUCGGCGCAACUGAGGAGCGGAAACUAAAAUUGGAUUUCUUGAGUGCGGAAGAGGCAGGCGGAAUUCCUAGUGUAGCGGUGAAAUGCGUAGAUAUUAGGAGGAACACCAGUGGCGAAGGCGGCUUGCUGGACAUUAACUGACGUUGAGGCACGAAAGUGUGGGGAGCAAACAGGAUUAGAUACCCGGGUAGUC
rnacentral:rRNA from 1 species